rnacentral:ncRNA from 1 species
UUAAAAGCUAAGAAAGAGAGAGUAACUAAAAAAAUAAAUUAAAAGAGAUUAACUGCAGUAGCUGAAAGUAGUUAAAUUUUAGAUUUUAGUGAAGUUCACUCUGGAGCUGAAGGCUGAAUUUAAGUAGGCUUUUCCGGAAGUUAAAAGCUUUCGUUAAAAAAAUAAGUGAUCCUAUUUUUUUGAUUAUAAUGAAUAGGGUAAUCAGGGUGGUAACACGGUAUCUCGUCCCUUUA